rnacentral:rRNA from 1 species
AGGACGAACGCUGGCGGCGUGCUUAACACAUGCAAGUCGAGCGGUAAGGCCUUUCGGGGUACACGAGCGGCGAACGGGUGAGUAACACGUGGGUGAUCUGCCCUGCACUUCGGGAUAGGCCUGGGAAACUGGGUCUAAUACCGGAUAUGACCUCAGGUUGCAUGACUUGGGGUGAAAGAUUUAUCGGUGCAGGAUGGGCCCGCGGCCUAUCAGCUUGUUGGUGGGUAAUGGCCUACCAAGGCGACGACGGGUAGCCGACCUGAGAGGGUGACCGGCCACGACUGGGACUGAGACACGGCCCAGACUCCUACGGGAGGCGGCAGUGGGGAAUAUUGCACAAUGGGCGAAAGCCUGAUGCAGCGACGCCGCGUGAGGGAUGACGGCCUUCGGGUUGUAAACCGUCUUUCAGCAGGACGAAGCGCAAGUGACGUACCUGCAGAAGAAGCACCGGCUAACACGUGCCAGCAGCCGC